rnacentral:rRNA from 1 species
GACGAACGCUGGCGGCGUGCUUAACACAUGCAAGUCGAACGGAAAGGCCCUGCUUUUGUGGGGUGCUCGAGUGGCGAACGGGUGAGUAACACGUGAGUAACCUGCCCUUGACUUUGGGAUAACUUCAGGAAACUGGGGCUAAUACCGGAUAGGAGCUCCUGCUGCAUGGUGGGGGUUGGAAAGUUUCGGCGGUUGGGGAUGGACUCGCGGCUUAUCAGCUUGUUGGUGGGGUAGUGGCUUACCAAGGCUUUGACGGGUAGCCGGCCUGAGAGGGUGACCGGCCACAUUGGGACUGAGAUACGGCCCAGACUCCUACGGGAGGCAGCAGUGGGGAAUAUUGCACAAUGGGCGGAAGCCUGAUGCAGCAACGCCGCGUGCGGGAUGACGGCCUUCGGGUUGUAAACCGCUUUCGCGUGUGACGAAGCGUGAGUGACGGUAAUGGGUAAAGAAGCACCGGCUAACUACGUG